GGCCACUCCUAGACCCAGAACAUCCGGAAAAGGUGUUCGCACCUUUUCUGUUGUCUGAAGAGCAACGUUGAAGACCUUCCUGUGCCUCCUGACAGGACGGCACAGGAACUGGAAGACCAGCGGGGAGAAUGGGA